UAAGAUAGGUGUUUGGAGAUGUCCUGUGUUU
rnacentral:piRNA from 1 species